UUUGCAUAGUUUAAACAAAACACUGGGUUGUGAUUCCAGUAAUAGAGAAUACUCUUGUAAACC
rnacentral:tRNA from 1 species